rnacentral:rRNA from 1 species
AAUCAACGCUGGCGGCGUGCCUCAGACAUGCAAGUCGAACGAUUAAAGCUCUCUUCGGAGAGUGUAUAGAGUGGCGCACGGGUGAGUAACACGUAAGUAAUCUACCCUCGAGUGGGGAAUAACAACCGGAAACGGUUGCUAAUACCGCAUAAUGCAGCGGCACCGCAAGGUGACAGUUGUUAAAGAUUUAUCGCUUGAGGAGGAGCUUGCGGCAGAUUAGCUAGUUGGUAGGGUAACGGCUUACCAAGGCUACGAUCUGUAACCGGUCUAAGAGGACGGUCGGUCACACUGACACUGAAUAACGGGUCAGACUCCUACGGGAGGCAGCAGUCGGGAAUUUUGGGCAAUGGGCGAAAGCCUGACCCAGCAACGCCGCGUGAAGGAUGAAGUAUUUCGGUAUGUAAACUUCGAAAGAAUAGGAAGAAUUAAUGACGGUACUAUUUAUAAGGUCCGGCUAACUACGUGCCAGCAGCCGCGGUAAGGUCGUCAUGU